CUUAUAUCACCAUACCUAGCAGCCCUCUGGCCGGUGUUAAAGGCCAGCCUGUUCUUUGGUUUGCUUGUCCUCUGCAGUCCCAGGCAACUGACAGUUGGAGCAGAGUGUUCUGCCUGGUAGGGAGGGGGCAAGCAAGUUCUCUGCUGCUUUCGCCAAUGCCUGGGGCUACAUUGGUUUCCCUCACAAUAGCAUUCUUCAUGGAAGACGAUGCAUUCUCAGCUCUUUUAGAAGACACAAGACACUCCAUUAUCUGAAAAGGGAAGGGAGAGGAAAACACCUUUACAUGUCAGCAAUUUGCAUAAUGAUGCAAUAAAUCAGACCCAUCUCUUUGA